AUGGCACAGCACCCCAGAAAGGCCCCAGAAUUGGAGGCACCAGAUUCUUCUGAAAGAAAAGGAGCAGUUCAGCACUUGGCAGGAAGACAAGAGGUCAACACCCCAGGACAGAGAGAAUACCUAAGGUUUGUAUUUUUGAUACACAAAAUGGUCCUAGCUAGAAGCUGUUGCCCAGGAAGUACUGAGGGCACAAGCUGUAAGCAGGAUCACAGUGGGGACAGCUAGUGUCAAAAGCCCUGCCGGACCAGUCCUUCACAGGGGCUAGCCAGGAUUCAGCAUGGGGUACUCAGCAUGGCAGGUCUGUACCUGCUAACAUUUCUGUCUUCCCAGUAGUGAGAAUCGGCUCCUUCCGCACCUGUAAGAGCAAAUUUAGUUCUGCCACUGUCCCAUUGCCUGGUGCUCACACCUCACUUUCCUGUCACAAGCCAGAUCAUCAUAAGCCCCGAGAGGAUGUCACUUCUCCCUAGUAAUCACCAAUUCUGUGAAAACUGAUUACUUUAAACUGUAUGUAUACACUUAGCAAUGAGGAAAGACUUUACCAGAUCAACUUUAAAAAUUAAACCUUAACUUCAAUGUGCUCACUGUGCUCCAACCAUGCCUGUCUUUUUUCUUGUUCCUCAAGGGUGUCAUGUUUCUGUUACUGCAUCUUAGCACAUGCUAUUCUUUCUGCCUGGAGUGUACAUCCCUAGACCAUCACAUGACUGGGCACAUUGCUCAGACUUCAGCCUAGAUGUCACCUCUUCAGAGAAGCCUUCUCUGACUACCCUAUUUAAUGCUGAUCACUCCAGCAGUCCAGACACCAGCUAAUAAAUUCCCUCCUACUCCUCCA
rnacentral:lncRNA from 13 species